UACGAAGGGGGGCUAGCGUUGUUCGGAAUUACUGGGCGUAAAGCGCGCGCAGGCGGUUCGAUAAGUUGGGGGUGAAAUCCCCGGGCUCAACCCGGGAAUGGCCUUCAAGACUGUCGAUCUAGAGGACGAGAGAAGUGAGUGGAAUUCCCAGUGUAGAGGUGAAAAUUCGUAGAUAUUGGGAAGAACACCAGUGGCGAAGGCGACUUACUGGACACAUAUUGACGCUGAGGCACGAAAGCGUGGGGAGCAAACAGG
rnacentral:rRNA from 1 species